AGUGAACGCUGGCGGUAGGCCUAACACAUGCAAGUCGAGCGGCAGCACAGUAAGAGCUUGCUCUUACGGGUGGCGAGUGGCGGACGGUGAGGAAUACAUCGGAAUCUACUUUUUCGUGGGGGAUAACGUAGGGAAACUUACGCUAAUACCGCAUACGACCUACGGGUGAAAGCAGGGGAUCUUCGGACCUUGCGCGAUUGAAUGAGCCGAUGUCGGAUUAGCUAGUUGGCGGGGUAAAGGCCCACCAAGGCGACGAUCCGUAGCUGGUCUGAGAGGAUGAUCAGCCACACUGGAACUGAGACACGGUCCAGACUCCUACGGGAGGCAGCAGUGGGGAAUAUUGGACAAUGGGCGCAAGCCUGAUCCAGCCAUACCGCGUGGGUGAAGAAGGCCUUCGGGUUGUAAAGCCCUUUUGUUGGGAAAGAAAAGCAGCAGGUUAAUACCCCGCUGUUCUGACGGUACCCAAAGAAUAAGCACCGGCUAACUUCGUG
rnacentral:rRNA from 1 species